AACGAACGCUGGCGGCAGGCUUAACACAUGCAAGUCGAGCGCCCCGCAAGGGGAGCGGCAGACGGGUGAGUAACGCGUGGGAAUCUACCCAUCACUACGGAACAACUCCGGGAAACUGGAGCUAAUACCGUAUACGUCCUUCGGGAGAAAGAUUUAUCGGUGAUGGAUGAGCCCGCGUUGGAUUAGCUAGUUGGUGGGGUAAUGGCCUACCAAGGCGACGAUCCAUAGCUGGUCUGAGAGGAUGAUCAGCCACAUUGGGACUGAGACACGGCCCAAACUCCUACGGGAGGCAGCAGUGGGGAAUAUUGGACAAUGGGCGAAAGCCUGAUCCAGCCAUGCCGCGUGAGUGAUGAAGGCCCUAGGGUUGUAAAGCUCUUUCACCGGUGAAGAUAAUGACGGUAACCGGAGAAGAAGCCCCGACUAACUUCGUGCCAGCCGCCGCCGUAAGAC
rnacentral:rRNA from 1 species